UACGGAGGGUGCAAGCGUUGUCCGGAUUUAUUGGGUUUAAAGGGUGCGUAGGCGGUUAAUUAAGUCAGUGGUGAAAUCCUGGAGCUCAACUUCAGAACUGCCAUUGAUACUGGUUGACUUGAGUACAGACGAGGUUGGCGGAAUUGAUGGUGUAGCGGUGAAAUGCGCAGAUAUCAGGAGGAACACCGAUGGCGAAGGCAGCUCGCUGGGACGGUACUGACGCUGAGACGCGAAAGCGUGGGGAGCAAACAGG
rnacentral:rRNA from 1 species